ACAUUUUUUACCCAUAGAUUCAGAUUACCCCUAAGACAGAUGGUUAUGGUUUAUUCCGUUUUGUGCACACAGGGGUAAAAGUCACUUAAAAUUGGACUCAAAUUACUUCAAAGUUUGAUACCUGCCAAUCACCAUUUCAUCUUGGGUAUACAAAACCAUACUGCAUAAGCUCCAAUUGCCUGAUUCUAAUUUUCAAUGUUUUCCCCUUUUUAGGUAAAUACCAUCUUCAGUUUUUUUUUCCUUUUUUUUUUAAUGAGCAGUUUAAUGGAAAAUAAUUGCUCCAGGUACAGGUCUUCUAUGGAUCUUGUUUCCUUAAGGUGUAUGUAGGAGGAAGCAGUAGGAGGCAGGAGGCAUUUUCAUUUUUAUUUUACUGCACCAGUGUUUGGAGCUCAGCAGCUGAGAUGGGGUGAGUAACACAUGAGCUUUGAUGAGCAAUUGUGGACACAGCCCUUUUUGCCAACAUCUCACUCAUUACCUUUUCCCUCCACUUUUUUUUUUUUUUUUUUUUGCCAAACCA
rnacentral:lncRNA from 10 species